GAGAAGCUACAUUGUUCGUAUUGUUAAUUAAGUUUUAACCUUUAAGCUGUAAUAGGGAGUUUUAUAUCGAAGCUGGAAUGUCAUGCCUCCAUUGCAGAGGACGACAGGAACGCUUCUGCAAACACCCACUUUGAGGAGUGGUGGUUUAAAACUUUCUUACUUGCGUACGGCAUACGUAGCGAAAGC
rnacentral:other from 2 species